GACGAACGCUGGCGGCGUGCCUAAUACAUGCAAGUCGAGCGGAUGAAGGAGGAGCUUGCUCCUCCUGAUUCAGCGGCGGACGGGUGAGUAACACGUGGGCAACCUGCCCUGUAGAUUGGGAUAACUCCGGGAAACCGGGGCUAAUACCGAAUAACCCACCGGACCACAUGGUCCGGUGUUGAAAGACGGCAUCUCGCUGUCACAACAGGAUGGGCCCGCGGCGCAUUAGCUAGUUGGUGAGGUAACGGCUCACCAAGGCCACGAUGCGUAGCCGACCUGAGAGGGUGAUCGGCCACACUGGGACUGAGACACGGCCCAGACUCCUACGGGAGGCAGCAGUAGGGAAUCUUCCACAAUGGACGAAAGUCUGAUGGAGCAACGCCGCGUGAGUGAAGAAGGUUCUCGGAUCGUAAAACUCUGUUGUGAGGGAAGAACAAGUACCGGAGUAACUGCCGGUACCUUGACGGUACCUCAUUAGAAAGCCACGGCUAACUACGUGCCAGCCGCCGCAGUAAAAC
rnacentral:rRNA from 1 species